GUGGCGGAGGGCAGCUAAUGGCGAUCAGUGCUGGAGGACCUGCUGGGGAAGGACAUCCCCCGUGGGGUCGAGACGUCCGUCUCCGAGAUGUGAAGGCUGCAGAGGACCCACCAGGAUCCCCUUGGAGGACAGCAAUGGGACUGCUUGAGGUCUUUGGAAGCACUUCAGUUCAGAAUGCCUUCCAAAGAAUGAAGCCCACCCACCCAUGGCUCAGCUAAUGGCGUUCACCGGACCAGGAACCCCGAGACCUGAAGGAGGAGCCGUGCAUCUGGAGGAACACCAUGUGGCUACCUGCUAAGUAUGACUCACUUCCACGAGGAGGGGAGCUGGUGGCUGGAGGACCUCCCUGAUGGUGGGGCGAGUGACACCCAACUCUACAGGGCUGCCCACGGAGGAGAGAGCUGAAGCUGUGCAUCCUGAAGUGCUGUGUUCAGUCUGGGAAGGACACACCUGAGCUGUUUCACACCUGAAUCUCUUAACCGCUAAAGCCCUUCAGUGACCAACAAAUGGUGCCUCAUCACAGCUCAACAUCGCUGGCCUGUGGAUUCAUCUCCUACACUCACACAACGUGACUUUGUAA